CUUGAGCGAGCGAGAAGCCUCCGCAUGUCCACUCACGCCGGGAACAUGGACGAGAAGGACAGAUAUUCCAGAGGCUUGGUCUGGAGGAUGAAUGCCCAUGAACCAGGAUUGGCAGAAUGUUCCUGAAGUAAAGUGUUAGGAUUAUACAACGCUAACAAGAUGGCAUAGUUCCUACUUCCCCAAAGUUCCGUCUAGGCAUUGAUAUGAGGCAGAGCAUGGAAUUUCCCAAGGAUCUGCCCAUGUGGAAUGGAAUAGUUCACCAACAUUCAACUUUGUACUUGAAUCUUCAAUACAUUUGAGAGAUUUUAUGACAAGAGGACUUUCCCUGAACUGCUUAGAGAGGAUCUUUUCAAUGUUCCAACUCCUUAAACCAACUAACCCAUCACUGCCAGGUGAACAGAAAUCCCUGAGCAUGGUAAACUCUGAUUUCUGGCAACAGCCAGACACAAGGCGCGGGAGUCUGACCUCGAGCUGAACAUCCCGCUCCACAUGCUCUGGCACAUUGCCGUGCGUACAGGCGUACCCCGCAGACCAAGUGGUUUAUGAUGCCGAUACAUGGGACCCUUCUGGGUCAGGUUGAAAGAAAAGCUGAAUACUCGUAAGGACCAUGAUUGCUUAAGUAAAGGUUGUGGAUGCAUAGUGGUCAUCUGUGGAGCAAACCCAUGAAAGUCAACAUGGAAAGUUUCUUCCUUCAAAAGGUGUAGCUUAUUUGGAAUUCAGUUAAGACCUAAUGAAGUUGCUACUUACUCCCACCUACCUGCUGACCAGUACAAGUUUUGGAGGAAAGACACUGGGGGGAAAUCAACACUUGAAUAUGCACAAGAGAAACCUUCGCUUAGCAGUCUUGUUUGGGCUAAAACCAGAUGCUGAAACCUACGUUUCAAAAUGAAACGUGGAAAGUGAAUAUUCUUGCUUUAACAGUCCCUUCAUGUCAGCAGCUCUGAGCAUAGAUCCAACCCAGUUACGUGUGCAUAGCUGAAAAGGGGCAUUAUAAGGUUUCAGAUGGAACCUCCUUGACACGCCUACAUCCAGUUGCUGGAGAUCCUGGAAAUGGGACACAAGGGAGAGUGGAUGGAGCACUGACGUGGUCUUGGCUACUCAAUGCUGAGAGCUGGAAUUUCCCACUGGUUGGAAUGGUUUUAUCAAAGUUUAGGGAACAAAUUUCCUAGAGUUGGGUUGAUUCUGUGAAUGAAUUUUCUUAAUAAAGGUAUUCCUGUUA